GUCGUCUCUCUUCUCAGUCCGACGGCGAAGCGUGACGUCUGAGAUUCCUUUCGCUGUCUGAAACGGUUCGACUAAUCAAAUCGAACUCUCAUCUUCUUCUUUUAUUUUCUCUUCUCUUCCCUCUAGAGUUUCAGGCAAUUUCUCUUUCGCCUCCCUCCGUCGCCUUAAGAGGUUCUCAGUUUGAUUAAUUUCAAAAUUAUUAUCCCGAAUUGUGUCUGUGCUGGGCAUGUCAAUGUUCUUUCUUCUCGAUCCUGUGAUUUAACCUUUUAGGUUUACGAUUCAUAGAGCUUAAUAAAUUAGUAUUUGUUUCACUGGUAGAUUGCCUUUAUUGAGUUUGUGUAAUCUAUCAUUAAUUGGGUUAACAUUACUCUCUUUGCCCUAUUCUUUGGCUUAAAAAUUUGAACUUUGAGAGCCUUUGUGACUGCUUGUGCAGGAUGUUAGUUGGGUUCAGAACAUCAGAUAUUUUGGUUCUAGAUGUCUGGCAACAAAGAUGGAUGAUUGGGUAAUCAGCCCUCUUGGAGCGAGCAGUACGUGUACGAGACGCUCUUUGUGGCGUUAGCUGAGUUUGAAGAGCGAUGCAAGGAGCCGGAACGUGCUAGGUUUAUCUACAAUUUGCUCAUGAUCAUAUUCCUACAAGGAGAGCUUAGGAUUUGUAUAAAAAGUUUGUGGCGUUUGAGAAACAGUAUGGUGAUAAGGAAGGGAUUGAGGAUGCCAUUGCUGGGAAUAGGAGGUUUCAGUAUGAAGAUGAAGUGAGGAAGAACCCUUUGAACUAUGAUUCUUGGUUUGAUUACGUUAUGCUUGAAGAAACUGUGGGGAACAAAGAUAGGAUAAGAGAGAUCUAGGAGAGGGCUAUUGCUAAUAUUCCACCUGUUGAAGAGAAAUGAUACUGGCAAACACACAUCUAUCUCUGGAUUAACUAUGCAUUGUAUGAAGAGAUUAAAACGGAAGAUGUGGAGCGUACACGAGAUGUAUAUUGUUUGAAAUCCGGCAAUUGAAUCUCGCCGGUGCUCGGUAGAUAUGAGGAAACGCUAUUGGGAAAGCUCCAAAAACUAAGAUAUUCAAGAACUACAUUGAGAUUGAGCUCCAGCUGGGAAACAUAGAUAGAUGUAGAAAGCUUUAUGAGCUUUAUCUUGAGUGGUUUCCAGAGAAUUGCUAUGCUUGGAACAAAUACGCUGAGCUAGAGAGGUAUCUUGCUGAGACUGAACUAGCUAGAACUAUCUUUGAGCUUGCAAUAUCUCUGCCAGCACUUGACAUGCCCUAACUGCUAUGAAGGCGUUCAUGAUAUCAAAAGGAGAAUCGGAGAGGACACGAGCUUUAUAUGAGCGACUAUUGGACCGCACAAAGCAUUACAAGGUGUGGUGGUGUGGGUUUGGUUUGCAAAGUGUGAAGCUUUUGCUGCGGAACAAGAAGAAGACGAGGAAGAGGAAGACCAAGAAAAAUAGAUGCUAUUGAACUCAACAAAGAGUGCAUCAGACGUACAGAAAAAUGUAUCAAUGGAUCAGCUGCAAUCACCAAUUAUAUUAAAAUGAACA